rnacentral:rRNA from 1 species
AUUGAACGCUGGCGGCAGGCCUAACACAUGCAAGUCGAGCGGAUGAAGGGAGCUUGCUCCUGGAUUCAGCGGCGGACGGGUGAGUAAUGCCUAGGAAUCUGCCUGGUAGUGGGGGAUAACGUCCGGAAACGGGCGCUAAUACCGCAUACGUCCUGAGGGAGAAAGUGGGGGAUCUUCGGACCUCACGCUCUCAGAUGAGCCUAGGUCGGAUUAGCUAGUUGGUGGGGUAAAGGCCUACCAAGGCGACGAUCCGUAACUGGUCUGAGAGGAUGAUCAGUCACACUGGAACUGAGACACGGUCCAGACUCCUACGGGAGGCAGCAGUGGGGAAUAUUGGACAAUGGGCGAAAGCCUGAUCCAGCCGUGCCGCGUGUGUGAAGAAGGUCUUCGGAUUGUAAAGCACUUUAAGUGGGGAGGAAGGGCAGUAAGUUAAUACCUUGCUGUUUUGACGUUACCAACAGAAUAAGCACCGGCUAACUUCGUG